CAAUUCCAAGGUUAACCAUUUCUUCGUCUCUUGAGAUUGUGAGUAGCAGCGUCGGACGAUUUUAGGGAAAAAAAAAUUUAUUGGAUUGGAAUCCCUAUGGACAGAAUCAGUUUCUUGCCUGAUGAUUUCCUGUUGCAUAUACUUUCAUUGCUUACCACAAAAGAUGUCUUGAAGACAAGUCUUUUGUCGAAACGAUGGCGGAAUCUUUGGAAGUUGGUGCCCAAACUCGACUACAUCGAUUUUAGAAAAAAGAAUGAUGCUGAUCAUGGGAGAUUUCUCCUGUUUGUGGACAGGUCUUUGCAAUUAAACACGGCUCCAAUCUUAGAGAGUUUAUCUUUCAAGUUUCAUUGGCGGCAUUGCAGUGACGUUGAUAUCGGAUUUUGGGUUAGAAUUGCAGCCAAACGAGGUUUACGCCAUUUCGAUUACUGUCCUUGCACUCUUCAUGAGCCUAGCAGAUUACCACAAAGCUUGUUCACCUGCGGGACACUCGUGGUACUUAAACUCACCAAUGUAUCGCUUGCGGAUGUUAAAUUCCCUGUUAGUUUCCCGUUACUCAAAGUGUUGCAUCUUCAUUGGCUGAUUUACUUAGACGAUGAAACCCCUCAGAAGCUUUUGUCAAGCUGCAAAAUUCUUGAAGAAUUGGUCGUGGACCGACAAAGGAAUGACAAUGUAACAACCAUUCCUAUAAAUGUGCCUUCAUUACUAAAGUUAGUCUAUAUUGGAGAAUCUAAUGAAGAAGUGUUUGAGUUGAAUGCUCCUUCUUUGAAGUGCUUAGAGGUUAAAGAUGUUGGUUACGAGUGUAUGGUUGAGGAUAUGCCUGAGAUCGUGACUGCAAAUGUGGAGGCUAUCUAUUCGAAUACCGACGACAUCUUGGGUGCUCUUACAUCAGUCAAACGCCUCUCGCUAUGUUUACCUUCAGAGUCGCCGUAUCCUACUGGUAAAAUCUUCCACCAGCUUGUAGACUUGGAGUACUGCACAUGUGAUACAGAAUGGGAUCAACUUAUCACUCUUCUCAAUCAAACUCCAAAACUACGAGCUCUCAAACUCAAUGAGAGACAUGGCUGUUUUUUUGGAGAACUAAGGCUUCAUUGGGAUGAGCCAAGUUCUGUUCCUGAAACGUUGAAGUCCGGACUUGAAACUUUCGAGUAUAGAAACUACAGAGGAUGGAAUGCAGAGAAACAAUUUGCAAAGUUUAUCUUGAAAAAUUCUUGUCGUUUAAAGAGGGCUGUUUUCUCACCAGUGGUCACCAAUUUGCAGAAGAAACAUGGAAUGCUCAUAGAGUUGGCUCUUUUGUCCAGAGGUUCAACGACGUGUCAGCUCGUCUUUGGCUAAAAAAUCUGAAACCAGCUGAAUUCAGAAACAGCUUUAUUGCAUCUCUUAAAAACCAUCUGCUCUGAUCCUCUACAUGUCAUCGUGAAUUUUAUCGAUAAAACUAUAUUGGAAUACAGGAUGUGAUUCUGUGAAUGAUUUGGCAUCAGCUUCAGAGUUAUAUCGCUGUAAGGUUGGUCUUGCUUCAUAUCUAUAAGUCCUCUAGACUUCAAUACCUGCAUAACAAAACAACCCAUCUCAGUUAGAGGCAAUGUACAGAGGAAUAUAUAGAAGGGCCAAAUUUUGUAUUGAGAAUCAAUCACCAGUGUCUCGUAGAACAUGCGAGCAGCUAUCUUCCUUGUCUUUCCUUCCAAGAUCUUGCUCAAACUUAGAUCUUCCGAUGGAUGGCUUGAAUUAGGACUACUUGAAGAACGUUCUGUAAUAUACUCAGCCACGGCUCUGCAAUGUUUAAUGAAAAUGUUACAAGUUAGUAGAGAAACAGUACGGCUCAUAAAAUGCUAUGUGUGGUUUGUUUGAAUCUGUAUACCUUGUUCUUCCUG